GCCCUUGUAGCUCAGUGGCAGAGCACCUCCAUGGUAAGGAGGGGGUCGUGGGUUCAAUCCCCACCGAGGGCUC
rnacentral:tRNA from 1 species